UAAAUAAGAAAACCCACCCAGUCCCGCACCCCCCGCACCACCCCCUCCAGCCACCGGUCCGCCACCGGUCCUAAAUCCGGCCGCCGCGCAGCUCCCUCCCCGGGAUCCGGCCGCCGCGACACCACCUCCCCCGGAUCCGGCCACCGGACUGCCUCCUUCCCCCGGAUCCGGCCGGGAUUGAUCCCACCGCCGCCUGCCACCACCAAGCACUGGCGUGCGACCCCGACGCCGCCUCCCUCUAUGAAGCGCCGGCGCCCGACCCUGUCACCUACCUCUGGUACGCCGUCGCGCCUCCGCAGGGUGCCCCUGACAUCGCCCAGCUCCUCCUCACAUGACGACCCCCUGCGACGCACGCCUCCUCGAUGUUCUGCCCCGGACAUGGGCGCCUCCCCGUCCACCCUCCGGCGACCGAAACCAGCUCCGCCCGCCGUAGCAGAGGACAUGCCCCGUUCGUGGACUCCCCUCCCCUCCGCCCGGGUGCGACCUGCCCUGCGCUCUGGCGCGACCUGCUCUCUGUUUGCAGGAAAAAUAAAAGAAACCACUUUCUACAUGCAAAAGGGCAUCAAGUUUUGGAAGAAGUAUGGUGUUUAAUGAAAAAAUGAGGAAAAAAAGGAUCCUCAAGCAAAUCAAGCAAUGGAAAUCUUCCUUGGUGGAGCUAGUAAUGCAAAGCUGCAAAAAAGCUGCAAAGCUUCAGUUUUAUGUAAUCUUGGCUAAAUUGUGAUAAUUUUAUGUUGUUAUGAACCUCUGCUGUACUGUUAAGAUUGAACUUUUCACAAAGUCCUAUGUUGAAGCUCCUCCUUCUGUUUUUCAUUUAUGUGUACUUCUACGGUUCAAUUUAAUGCAAACCAUUUUUGUACGUGUGAACAUCAAAGGUUCAGUGUUACAUUCUUGCUCA